rnacentral:lncRNA from 1 species
CCCCCGCCGCACCUUCACCCUUUCUGAAAAGGUCAAUCGUAUCUCGUUGUUCAGUGAUCCGGGAGGUGGAAGGCUAUUGGUUCAGGGAGCCCGUCAGACCGGACUGGAGUGAGCCAUGAUUGGUCGACACAGGCGCAAUCAGAGUCAAGAAAACUUUGCUUUUGACUUAUUUACAGCUAGUCACAAUUGAGUGAAGUAUACUCCUGUAAACAAAUUUGGAUUUCUCUCUCUCAAUCUGAUUUCUCCAGAAUGUGGAAACUAUUUAAACAGACUGCAGAUUGAAUUCCUACAUAGGCUAUUCCAGAAUUCUUACGAGACUUGCAUUAGGACAUCAGCAACAGAAGCAAGAUUAUUUCUAAAAGUCAAUAAAGGAUAUCCCAGAGGAAUUGAGGAAAAAUGGGAUGAGGACUUCAGUAAAACAUACUUUGGUGACAAACAUUUUGAUAUAAAAUUUUGUAAAAGCACACACAUCCUGAUGGGAAGAGGAUGAGUAAUUUCUUUUUAAUUCAGAGCAAGUGUUCUAAUCUGGCUGAAAUUCUGGGAAGUGCUGGAAAUCCCCAAAGCAAAGUGCCAGAUGCCAUUUCUGGAUCCUGGAUACGUGGGCUUGGUUGCUAAGAUGAUGAUGCCUCCUCCCCUUCACCACAUUCAGCUGACGCCUGAGCGACAGGGAGUUGAUGUACGCAGAGCACGGAUCUAACAAUGUCAACUGUGCUGACAUCAUCCUAGCUGUGCAGGGCUGAUGGGAAUUCAGAAUAUCAAACAUCAUAUCAAGGGCAGUGAGCAGGUAUCAUCUAGUGAACUGUUCAGAUGCAACUGAAUUGAAAAGGAGCUGAACAAAAGAUCCUGAGAGAGACUUCAACAAAAAGUAAAAUGGAUUUUAUCAUACUUGAAAAAUCAACAAUUGCAGUCUGGAUUCAUACAUCACUGUCUGAUGCACCCAACUUGAGUCAAAAAGAUGUUUCAAAUCCCACUAGGCUGGAGGCAAAAAUACUCAAGAGUUUAAGAGCGUCUCUUGACAGUGUACAGAAUAAGAUAGCUUCUCAGCUUUCAGCUUUACUUCACGGUUUUAACUAUCAAAAGAAGCAAGCCAUCUGAAGAUUUGCCUGAGACUGAAGGAUCCACUUCUGCGACGACUCCCUCAGGACUUAUAAUGCAGAUGGAACCAGAUUGAGAAAAACCAGCCAACCAACCAACCAACAUGAUGGCUGAACCAGACAAGAGAAGUCCCGAAGUAAAAUACCCACCAAUUACCAGAAUCUGUGCCUGCCAUACAUCGAAGAAAAUUCAACAGCAAUACAAAUUAACCUUUGGAAAAUCUUUCCUGGGUUUUAUGUUUGUGUGAAAUGCCCCUUUACUAAACUGGAAGAUGUGUAAGAUGGAAGAAGAGGUUCUGCUGGAUAUGGAGAAAUUGGAACCCUUGUACAUGUGGAAAUGUAAAAUGGUGCAUUAGGAAAACAGUUUCAACGGUCCUCAAAGUGGUAAACAUAGAGUUACCAUAUGACUGAGAAAUUUUAC